GACAGAGGUGCCAAGCGUUAGGCGGAAUCAUCUGGGUCGUUAAAGCGUGUGUAGGCGGAAUUGUAAGUAACCUUGUGGAAAUCCCACGGCUCAACCGUGGAACUGCUUGGUAUGCUGCUUUCUUGAGCCACUUAGGGCUGUCGGAACAAACGGUGGAGCGGUGAAUGCGUAGAUAUCGAGAGGAACACCUGCGGCGAAGCGGUGCUGGGCUGACACUGACGCUGAUGUGACGAAAGCUAGGGGAGCGAACGGG
rnacentral:rRNA from 1 species